GACGGAAGGUGCAAGCGUUGCUCGGAAUCACUGGCGUAAAGGGUGCGUAGGCGGCUGUGCGAAGUCUGGCCGUGAAAGCCCCGGGCUCAGCCCGGGAAGUGCGCUCGAAACUGCGGCAGCUCGAGUGCCGGAGGGGAGAGUGGAAUUCCUGGUGUAGCGGUGAAAUGCGUAGAUAUCAGGAGGAAUACCGGUGGCGAAAGCGACU
rnacentral:rRNA from 1 species